rnacentral:rRNA from 1 species
CCCUAGCGGCGAACGGUCGCGUAACACGUAAGCAACCUGCCCGAAAGACCGGGACAACGUUUCGAAAGGAACGCUAAUACCGGAUGUGACCGUCUUUUUGCCUAGAGGGACGAUUAAAGCGCGAAAGUGGCUUUCGGAGGGGCUUGCGGCCUAUCAGCUAGAUGGCGGGGUAACGGCCCACCAUGGCGACGACGGGUAGCUGGUCUGAGAGGAUGGUCAGCCGGACUGGGACUGAGAUACGGCCCAG